UACGUAGGGGGCUAGCGUUGUUCGGAAUUACUGGGCGUAAAGCGCGCGUAGGCGGCUUUGUAAGUUAGAGGUGAAAGCCCGGGGCUCAACCCCGGAACUGCCUUUAAGACUGCAUCGCUUGAAUCCAGGAGAGGUGAGUGGAAUUCCGAGUGUAGAGGUGAAAUUCGUAGAUAUUCGGAAGAACACCAGUGGCGAAGGCGGCUCACUGGACUGGGUAUUGACGCUGAGGUGCGAAAGCGUGGGGAGCAAACAGG
rnacentral:rRNA from 1 species